CCUACGGGGGGCAGCAGUAGGGAAUUUUGCGCAAUGGGGGAAACCCUGACGCAGCAACGCCGCGUGAUCGAUGAAGCCCUUCGGGGUGGAAAGAUCUGUCAGUGGGGACGAAACCUGACGGUACCCACAGAGGAAGCACCGGCUAACUACGUGCCAGCAGCCGCGGUAAUACGGGGGGUGCAAGCGUUGUCCGGAAUUAUUGGGCUGAAAGGGUUCGUAGGUGGCACGGUAAGUCUGGUGUUAAAGGCGGAGGCUGAACUUUCGUAGGGCACUGGAUACUGGCGGGCUUGAAUGCGGUAGAGGUAAGGGGAAUACGUGGUGUAGCGGUGAAAUGCGUAGAUAUCAGGAGGAACACCGGUGGCGUAAGCGCUUUACUGGGCCGUAAUUGACACUGAGGAACGAAAGCCGGGGUAGCAAAUGGGAUUAGAUACCCCAGUAGUC
rnacentral:rRNA from 1 species